CGGGGUGGAGUAACGCGUGGGUAACCGUGCCUCAUACAGGGGGAUAACAGUUGGAAACGACUGCUAAUACCGCAUAAGCGCACAGGAUUGCAUGAUCCAGUGUGAAAAACUACCGGUGGUAUGAGAUGGACCCGCGUCUGAUUAGCCAGUUGGCGGGGUAACGGCCCACCAAAGCGACGAUCAGUAGCCGACCUGAGAGGGUGACCGGCCACAUUGGGACUGAGACACGGCCCAA
rnacentral:rRNA from 1 species